GGCCGCCUAGCUCAGUUGGUUAGAGCGUGGUGCUAAUACUAAGCGCUUGUUUAGUCUACGCCAAGGUCGUCGGUUCGAUCCCGGCGGUGGCCA